rfam:Oryza sativa Japonica Group DNA, chromosome 4, cultivar: Nipponbare, complete sequence.
ACGGAGGGAGCCCAACUUUGACCGUCCGUCUUAUUUAAAAAGUUUUUGAAAAAAAAUUAAAAAUAUAAGUCAUGAGUAAAGUACUAUACAUAUUUUAUCAUCUCACAACAACAAAAAUACUAUUUAUAAUUUUUUUCAAAUAAGACAGAGGAUCAAAGUUGGGCGUAAAAACUUAUGAUUGUAUUUUGG